rnacentral:lncRNA from 1 species
UUUUCCUUGGUCCACAGGUAGGUGUCACAAUUGCUUUGGAAAAAAAAAGUCAGGAGGCCAUUCUCCCUUCCCAAGCUCAUAAAUACACAGAUACAAACCCCAGAUGUGGAAAUGCGGACCACAUUUUGUGCCACUGUAUAGAGGAUGCAGACUGCACUGCCAACCCACAGACUCUAAGGACUGGACACACGUUGUUUGGGCAUAUGAGAACUCGUUGGCAUAGUAUAGCUUCCCUAUGUUUGUGUGACUUUUGGAAACAAUCUGUUUUUUCUCAGGAUAUCUUCACUUCAUUGCCACGGUAUAUAUUCUAUAGGUGUGAUAGAACUUGCUGUAAAAUUUAUUUGUAAAAAAAAAUGUACACGGUAGAACUAAUGUGAUUGAAGAACUUGGGUCCUUCAGAAGUGGAAACAAAUUUGAUAUUUAUUUUUAUAAUGACAUAAAGCUUCUAGUAAUUUAUGCAAGUUGUAUUGCAAUGAAAUCUAAAACUUUUGUAAAUAAAUUCUGCUGGUUUUUAUUUGAACAUUGCUGGUUAUACAAUCUCUGUUGGUUGUUUAACAUGAAUUCUCUACUAAUUUAUAUCUAAAACUGUAAAUAAAAACAGAUGAGCCUACAAG